GACGAACGCUGGCGGCGUGCCUAAUACAUGCAAGUCGAACGCUUCUUUCCUCCCGAGUGCUUGCACUCAAUUGGAAAGAGGAGUGGCGGACGGGUGAGUAACACGUGGGUAACCUACCCAUCAGAGGGGGAUGACACUUGGAAACAGGUGCUAAUACCGCAUAACAGUUUAUGCCGCAUGGCAUAAGAGUGAAAGGCGCUUACGGGUGUCGCUGAUGGAUGGACCCGCGGUGCAUUAGCUAGUUGGUGAGGUAACGGCUCACCAAGGCCACGAUGCAUAGCCGACCUGAGAGGGUGAUCGGCCACACUGGGACUGAGACACGGCCCAGACUCCUACGGGAGGCAGCAGUAGGGAAUCUUCGGCAAUGGACGAAAGUCUGACCGAGCAACGCCGCGUGAGUGAAGAAGGUUUUCGGAUCGUAAAACUCUGUUGUUAGAGAAGAACAAGGACGUUAGUAACUGAACGUCCCCUGACGGUAUCUAACCAGAAAGCCACGGCUAACUACGUG
rnacentral:rRNA from 1 species